UACAGAGGUCCCAAGCGUUGUUCGGAUUCACUGGGCGUAAAGGGUGCGUAGGCGGUCGGGUAAGUCUGAUGUGAAAUCUCACAGCUUAACUGUGAAACUGCAUUGGAUACUAUCCGGCUUGAGGAAUGGAGGGGAGACUGGAAUACUUGGUGUAGCAGUGAAAUGCGUAGAUAUCUGGAGGAAUACCGGUGGCGAAGGCGGCAUCCUGGACCGACAUUGACGCUGAACGGCGAAAGCUAGGGGAGCAAACGGG
rnacentral:rRNA from 1 species